rnacentral:rRNA from 1 species
UACGGAGGAUCCGAGCGUUAUCCGGAUUUAUUGGGUUUAAAGGGAGCGUAGGCGGGUUGUUAAGUCAGUUGUGAAAGUUUGCGGCUCAACCGUAAAAUUGCAGUUGAUACUGGCAUCCUUGAGUACAGUAGAGGUAGGCGGAAUUCGUGGUGUAGCGAUGAAAUGCUUAGAUAUCACGAAGAACUCCGAUUGCGAAGGCAGCCUGCUGGACUGUAACUGACGCUGAUGCUCGAAAGUGUGGGUAUCAAACAGG